UACGGAGGGUGCAAGCGUUAUCCGGAUUCACUGGGUUUAAAGGGUGCGUAGGUGGGUUGGUAAGUCAGUGGUGAAAUCCCCGAGCUUAACUUGGGAACUGCCAUUGAUACUAUCAGUCUUGAAUAUCCUGGAGGUGAGCGGAAUAUGUCAUGUAGCGGUGAAAUGCUUAGAUAUGACAUAGAACACCAAUUGCGAAGGCAGCUCACUACGGGAUUAUUGACACUGAGGCACGAAAGCGUGGGGAGCAAACAGG
rnacentral:rRNA from 1 species